rnacentral:rRNA from 1 species
GGGCACUCUAAGGUGACUGCCGGCUAAAAGUCGGAGGAAGGUGGGGAUGACGUCAAAUCAUCAUGCCCCUUAUGACCUGGGCUACACACGUGCUACAAUGGGCGGUACAAAGGGUCGCGAACCCGCGAGGGGGAGCCAAUCCCAAAAAGCCGCUCUCAGUUCGGAUUGCAGGCUGCAACUCGCCUGCAUGAAGCCGGAAUCGCUAGUAAUCGCGGAUCAGCAUGCCGCGGUGAAUACGUUCCCGGGCCUU